UUUCCGUAGGUGAACCUGCGGAAGGAUCAUUACCGAAUUGUCAAACGGGUUGUUGCUGGUCCUCAAACGGGGACAUGUGCACGCUCUGUUUACACAUCCACUCACACCUGUGCACCCUCCGUAGUUCUAUGGUCUGGGGGACCCCGUCUUCCUGCCGUGGUUCUGCGUCUUUACACACACGCUGUAACAAAGUCUUAUGGAAUGUAUGCCGCGUCUAACGAAAUACAAUACAACUUUCAGCAACGGAUCUCUUGGCUCUC
rnacentral:misc_RNA from 1 species